AUACGUAGGGGGCGAGCGUUGUCCGGAAUGAUUGGGCGUAAAGGGCGCGUAGGCGGCCCGGUAAGUCUGGAGUGAAAGUCCUGUUUUUAAGAUGGGAAUUGCUUUGGAUACUGUCGGGCUUGAGUGCAGGAGAGGUAAGUGGAAUUCCCAGUGUAGCGGUGAAAUGCGUAGAGAUUGGGAGGAACACCAGUGGCGAAGGCGACUUACUGGACUGUAACUGACGCUGAGGCGCGAAAGUGUGGGGAGCAAACAGGAUUAGAUACCCUGGUAGUCCACGCCGUAAACGAUGAGUGCUAAGUGUUGGAGGGUUUCCGCCCUUCAGUGCUGCAGCUAACGCAUUAAGCACUCCGCCUGGGGAGUACGGCCGCAAGGCUGAAACUCAAAUGAAUUGACGGGG
rnacentral:rRNA from 1 species